AUCACGAGAAGAAUAGGAAAAAUAUUGCUAUACUCAAGUAUCAAGAUUAAAAUAAUGAACUUUCUUACUUCGAUUGGAGGAGAUGAGAAACAACUUACAGCGGCAAUCUUAAUACAGCUAAUGGCUAAAGAAAUAUGUUUUUCAUACUCAGUGUAUGGAAUGAAACAAAAACGUCCUGCAAGGUCGUUAUAGAGUUGCGUUUAGUCGUUUAUCGUUGUAUUCGUUCAUUUCGAAAUCGUUACUGACAAAAGUAUUAAAGAAAAAAUUGGCAGCUUUCUGGCAACGGCCAUUAAUAGAGAUUAC